rnacentral:pre_miRNA from 1 species
GUGAGGACUCGGGAGGUGGAGGGUGGUGUCACCAGGGCCAGGGCACAGUCUCAGCGCGCUCCUCCCCCCACCUCCUCUCUCCUCAG